rnacentral:piRNA from 1 species
UAAGCCACUUUGGAGUCUUUUGGAUGU